GUAAAGUGGCGCACGGGUGAGUAACGCGUAGAUAACCUGGUCUUCGAUGGUACUGGAAUAAUACGCCGAAAGGGGUACUAAUACCGGAUAUUCUUGCUUUUCAUAAGUUAUGCAAGCAAAGGUGGCCUCUGCAUAUGCUACUGCAUGAAGAGGGGUCUGCGUACCAUUAGCUAGUAGGUGGGGUAAUGGCCUACCUAGGCGACGAUGGUUAGCGGGUCUGAGAGGAUGAUCCGCCACACUGGCACUGGAACACGGGCCAGACUCCUACGGAGGCAGCAGUGAGGAAUAUUGCGCAAUGGGGGAAACCCUGACGCAGCGACGCCGCGUGAGUGAAGGAAGGCCUUCGGGUCGUAAAGCUCUGUCAAGAGGAAAGAAGUGUACAAUGGCUAAUACCUGUUGUAUUUGACGGUACCUCUAAAGGAAGCACCGGCUAACUCCGUGCCAGCAGCCGC
rnacentral:rRNA from 1 species